CCCUUAGAUGUUCUGGGCCGCACACGCGCUACACUGAAGGAGGCAGCGUGUACUCCUGGAUCGAAAGAUUUGGGUAACCCGCGAAUCUCCUUCGUGCUAGGGAUUGAGGUUUGCAAUUAUCCUUCAUGAACGAGGAAUUACCAGUAAGUGCAAGUCAUAAGCUUGCGCUGACUACGUCCCUGCCCUUUGUACACACCGCCCGUCGCUACUACCGAUUGAAUGAUUUAGUGAGGACUUCGGACUGGGACCGAUGCGGCUUUCGGGCUGCGUCGGUAUUCUGGAAAGAUGUCCAAACUGUAUCAUUUAGAGGAAGUAAAAGUCGUAACA
rnacentral:rRNA from 1 species